AAGGGGGAGUAGCGCCGGUGGGUGUCACUGCCACUGUUAUUGCUGUUGUUAUUGGAUAGAAAGCACAGAGAGGCCGUCGCACUUCUAGCCGCCACCGAAGCUCCCCUCACCAAGAAAAGAGGAAUAAUGAUGGAAAAGAAAGGUUGAUGGGGGUGGGUAACGCCGCUGUGUCGCUAGGGCUAGCCACCGGAGCCCCUAUCGUCACCGUUGCAUGUGGGAAGGGGAGAUGACGUUGCCGAUUUUGAUUCUACCCAAAUCCCAAUUUAUUCAAAAUUCCUAAUUUCACUUUUGCCCAAAAUUAAACCCUAAUUCCCAAAUUAAACCCGACAAAUCUUAACCUCCACCGCCUUUCACCGCCAUACUUUCCUUUUUCUCCCUCAGCAGCCGCCAAACCCCCUAUUACUCACCACCAUCACCCUCAUCUCUCUCACACCCUCACCUUCAAUUUUCAUUCAUCAACCCACAUAAUAAACAAACAUACACACGCAUGGCAGAGAGGAGAUCUGGGAAGAGAGGGAGUUGCGCCGCGAGGGAGAAGAAGGGAUGAGGAAGGAGGAAGCUGCGUAUCGUCCCACCCCAGCUCCCCGCCGCCGCGUCCUUUUGUUGCCGCCAUCACGUAUCAGAUCUGAGGCGAGAGAGAGAGAGAGAGAGAGACGUGAAUGAGGAGAGAAGCCGCGCGUUGCCGCCGUACCCAGUCGCAUCCUCACCACGAAGCCAUCAUCACCAUUGAGGAGCAGAGCCGUAAAGAGAGCGAAGGUUGUGGGCCUAGGACCGCCACGACGUCGACGAAGUCACUGCGCUGUUGCCGCAAUUAUGGUUGCCAUCACCUCUGACGGGUUCUGCCACGAGGAGAAGCUCGAGUGGGAGUGAGGGAGACGCAACCAGAUGUGAAUGGAGGGAGAAGACAGACUCGCCGGACAAAGAGGAGGCCUUGUGGCCGUGCCUGGUCAUCGAGAAACUUCAUGUGGCCGUCGAAACCACCACAGUGACUGCUGCUAUUUGGUUCAGUCAUUACUCCUUAAUAUGAUGCAGGACGUGAGGCACCUCACUGAGCGUGCUGGAGACUCCUUCAGAAGCAAAGAUAUACUUUUGGGACUUUCAUUUUAUGUACUUAGCUUAUAUAUAUGUGUAUAUUUCCCACUAUUAUAUUAAAACUUGUAUUGUCUUCCUAGAGGUUGAUUUAGAGAUUCAAGAUUGGUAUUUUAUCCUUUGGUUUAUUUUUUGGUUGUAUAUAUUUUUUUUUCUAGCCGAACUUUGCUUCGUAAGUCGAGUUUAGGACUUGAUUAUGUAUCUCUGUAUUGGAAUUCUCUCUCUCUAUAUAUACAUAUGUCUCUUCGAUUUUUUGUAUAA